UCAACUUUAUUAGAAGAGGCGCAUUUAUUAGAUAAAAAGCCAAUUCACGCUUUUAGAGGAGGAGAGGUGGUGAUUUAUAAUAACUUAGCAAAUCGCAAAGUGAAAA
rnacentral:rRNA from 1 species